CUUAACUGGUCUAAUGAUCCAAUCUUGACUGCAAAAGACAAAGCUCCACAUGGGAGUUACCCCCUGGAGGGACUUACCAAGCAGACAUUCAUAGGAUGAAUUGGAGGAACAUGAAUCAGCAAGUGUUUUUGGCUAACUCUCUCCUAGGUGAAUUUAGUACUGAAUUCAGGUCGUGGAGCGCAUGGGAUAUGAUAUGGUCUAUUCUGGUGACAUGCCUGCUCUAGUAGUCGCGGAGUUCUUCGCUGAGACGCAAAGUAGCUUAACAUGUCGUCUUUGGUCUGUAAGAUGGUGAAUGGUAUCGGUCGCUUAGUUUGUAUUCCUCCUCAGAUGGAAUGCUGAUACUCAGAGUAGUGUUGUCUUGGUUGAUGGUGAUGCUGCCAGACUUUCAAGUGAUCCCUUGAAUCUGCUAGAAUGAUAUGAAGCUCUUGAGUGAUUUAUUGCUUCUUCCUUUCA